UUGAACGCUGGCGGCAGGCCUAACACAUGCAAGUCGAGCGGAUGAAGGGAGCUUGCUCCUGGAUUCAGCGGCGGACGGGUGAGUAAUGCCUAGGAAUCUGCCUGGUAGUGGGGGAUAACGUCCGGAAACGGGCGCUAAUACCGCAUACGUCCUGAGGGAGAAAGUGGGGGAUCUUCGGACCUCACGCUAUCAGAUGUGCCUAGGUCGGAUUAGCUAGUUGGUGGGGUAAAGGCCUACCAAGGCGACGAUCCGUAACUGGUCUGAGAGGAUGAUCAGUCACACUGGAACUGAGACACGGUCCAGACUCCUACGGGAGGCAGCAGUGGGGAAUAUUGGACGAUGGGCGAAAGCCUGAUCCAGCCAUGCCGCGUGGGUGAAGAAGGUCUUCGGAUUGUAAAGCACUUUAAGUUGGGAGGAAGGGCAGUAAGUUAAUACCUUGCUGUUUUGACGUUACCAACAGAAUAAGCACCGGCUAACUUCGUG
rnacentral:rRNA from 1 species